CACCGUACAUUGUUGCUCAGUCCCAUUCAAGUGAAUGGGGCCAAGCUGCAACAUCAAGCACAGCCACUAUACAAUGAACGGGGCUGUGCUUGGUAAGCUAGAGGAGGCCGCAGCCUCUUCUAACUGCUGAUUGGCGGGG